rnacentral:rRNA from 1 species
AUGGCCCGCCUCGGCCUCCGGCGCUUUCCGCCGCCGAUGCUCCUCCUUCUCCUCGCCCUCUUCCUCGUCGCGGCGGCGGCGGCGGGGAAGGGAAAGAAGAGGGGCGGCGGCGGGCUGCGGUUCCGGCGGGAGGGCGGCACGUUCAAGGUGCUGCAGGUGGCGGACAUGCACUACGCGGACGGGCGGAGCACCGCGUGCGAAGACGUGCUGCCCGAGCAGGUCGCCGGCUGCUCCGACCUCAACACCACCGCCUUCCUCUACCGCGUCAUCCGCGCCGAGGACCCCGACCUCGUCGUCUUCACAGGUCCGACCCCCACCCAUCCUCCUCCUCUUCCCUGCUCUGUUAUUCGAUUAAUACUCCGAUUGACUAGUGAUUCGUUGGUGUCAUGCAUUCCUGGUGACAACAUCUACGGCGCGGAUUCGACCGACGCGGCCAAAUCAAUGGAUGCAGCAAUAGCUCCGGCCAUUGCCAUGAACCUUCCCUGGGCUGCUGGGAUUGGUAACCAUGACCAAGAGGGUACCCUGUCACGGGAGGGCGUGAUGCGACACCUUGUGGGCAUGAAGAACACUCUUUCACGCUUCAAUCCUGAAGGAGUAGAAAUCGAUGGCUUCGGGAAUUAUAAUCUGGAAGUUGGUGGGGUUGAGGGAACACUGCUGGCUAACAAAUCAGUGCUCAACAUGUAUUUUCUUGACAGUGGUGACUAUUCUACCGUGCCAUCAAUCCCUGGUUAUGGCUGGAUCAAGGCUUCGCAGGAAGCUUGGUUCCGGAAAACGUCUUCGAGCCUCCAGAAAAACUACACGAAUGAAGAACCCAGACAGAAGGAGCCGGCACCUGCUCUUGCAUACUUCCACAUUCCAUUGCCGGAGUUCAGCAGCUUCACGGCAUCCAAUUUCACAGGAGUGAAGCAGGAGGGCAUCAGCUCGCCGUCAAUCAACUCGGGCUUCUUUACCACCAUGGUGGAAGCUGGAGAUGUGAAGGCUGCCUUCAUAGGACAUGAUCACUUAAAUGACUUCUGCGGGAAGCUCACUGGUAUUCAGCUGUGCUAUGCCGGUGGGUUCGGUUACCAUGCAUAUGGGAAGGCCGGGUGGUCGAGAAGAGCAAGGGUGGUGUCUGUGCAGCUCGAGAAGACGGGGACCGGAGAGUGGCAAGGAGGAGGGGCAGCAAGGAUCAUGACAGAAGCUGAGUUCAGGAUGGGGACAGCGAGUGAGUGA